rnacentral:lncRNA from 1 species
GUGUCAUGCAAGAAGGAGGCGGCGGCGGCGGCGGCCGGAGCUGGAGUGGGAGGAGGGGAGGAACCUGAUCCUCGGUAGCGAAGGGCUGGAGGCAAACACCGAGCUCCCCCUGAGCCGCUCGGGAACAGGGAGGGUUCUGCUACCCUGAGGGGCCCUCCCCGCGGGGCAGAGGGGUUUCCUCAGCAGUGCCCCCGAGCAGGGACCGCGCCAGCCAGCAGAAACAGCUAGUUGUUGUCUACAGUGAAGAAUAAUUGGAAGCAUGGUGCCUGCUUCUUUUCCUGUGGGGGGAAGUCACGACAUGUACUUCUGACUCUAUGCUUGCCUUGAGGAACAAUGGCAUGACACAGGGAUGUGGACGUUUUUCAACCAGAUGCUUCGGUACAGCAGUGUCGGCACACAAGGAGUGUUCCACUGACUGACCUCUUUUUGUUUUCAAAUGAAGAGGAGCCAAGAAUAGGACGGCUUGGGAAGGUGAGCUGCGUAUAACUCGUCAGGCUGAGCCCAUCCUCGCCUAUGGCCAAGGGUUUCUCGUUUCUAGAAGAUGAAAGAUGUGAUGACUUAGGAAAAACUAGAAUCUGAGUAACUGUGGUGGGCACUGGGCCAGAGGUAGGCAUACACCUUGCCAUCCACAAGAGAAAGUGUGCUGUUCGAGAUGUGAGUCUUCAGAUGUUCCCGCCGCCAUAUCUGACAGCUGCUGCCAAGAUUCCCUGGUGCGAUGGACUCUUAUACCUCUACAACCAGAAGCCCAAGUAAACUCUUCUAUAAGUUGAAUGAAUCAUGCUU